UACAGAGGGUGCAAGCGUUGUUCGGAAUUAUUGGGCGUAAAGGGCGCGUAGGCGGCCUGGCAAGUGGGAGGUGAAAUCCCUCGGCUUAACCGAGGAACUGCCCUCCAAACUGCUUGGCUUGAGUCCGGGAGAGGUGAGUGGAAUUCCCAGUGUAGCGGUGAAAUGCGUAGAUAUUGGGAGGAACACCAGUGGCGAAGGCGGCUCACUGGACCGGAACUGACGCUGAGGCGCGAAAGCGUGGGGAGCAAACGGG
rnacentral:rRNA from 1 species